CAGUUAAACUUGAGUGUCAGAGAGACAAUGAAUAAUUUUUUGCUAUAAAAAUAUAUCCUGUGCAAUAUUUGGGACAUACUUAUACUAAAAAAUUGUUAUUUUCCUGACAUUCAGAUUUUAC
rnacentral:miRNA from 1 species